UCUACGGAAUCGACCACGCUGUAGAGAAGGAAAUCGCGGCGGCCGAGCAAGAUGAGAAUAGUGAGGGGAAGAGGGCGUUGCAAAAUGUGGUGAGCCGACACGAGGGUUCGACAGGACUUGGCUUUCAGUCGCAACUCGGCAGUCUGCACGAGAUGAUCGAGUUAGGCAUAGUACGGUGUGUAGUUUAUGUAUAUAUGCACGUUACAUGUAUACGCGUACAGUGCAUGUAUUAGUGUUCAUAGGCGCAGUCUCGCGUGUGUACGAGUAACCGAUACGCCGGACGGGUUGACACACGCGCAGCAAUGGCGUACCCCUUCGAAGAGGCCUGAGUGUGUUUUCCGUCAUCGAGUAUUCCCUUGUGCCGCUGUGUGUGCCGUGUGUAAUAAGGACAAAUUCCUGUAGAAGAUCAUCACAUGUAAGCCGAUGAUAGAAUUGCGGAACGACGUCGACGCAUUAGGGUGUUUCAGGCUUGAAAUCAACGAACGAGACGGAACGACCGAGACGAAGCGAGGCGAGGCGAGGCGAAACGAGACGGCGGGUUGGAACAGGAUGGGACGGGACGGGAUGGAACGGAACGGAACGGAACGGAACGGAACGGAUCUGGGCGGUUACGGGUCGAGAAGGGAGCGAGGGACGUGACCAGACCAGACGAGAAGGGGGCGCGGUCAAGAUGGGGAUCGGCAGAGACGAAACCGAGAGACGACGGCCCGCACGCACCGGAGGGAGCAGGAUACGUCGACUCGUAUUCCGAAAACACUGACGACCCAUGUGCACGGGAUGAUGAACGUUAGACUAACAGUCGCUAAUGCGAACCUGCACCGCACACCGCCCGAGCUCCUAUAAUUUCCACCCGUCGCGCCUCGCGAACCGCCCGUGGAAAAACGAGAGAGAGAGAGAGAGAGAGACAGCUUCGGGGAACUGUGGCGUCUGCUUUCCGAACACGCCAAAAUAAACGAAGAAAAGAAAGAAGGGCGGGAAAGAAAUGUGAAAGUCACGGAAGGCGGUCACUCUUUUUCGUUUCGUUCGCCAAUGGGUAGGCCCAAUAGGCUCGACAGAGGGGUUCGACGGUUCCGACAAAUUUCUGUUUCCCAAAUUUCUGUUCAAAGCUCGUCCCUCGAACGUUGUUGCAGGCGCGCGGCUGGCAUUAACGACCUGUUUUCCACGACGCGUUUCUGUGGAAUUCGUCAGCCUCUCCUCCGUUCCUCGGACAGCGCGACGUUGACGCGUUUAUUUUUGUAGAAAAUGCGCGCUCUUGCGAGACGUCUCUUCGAAGACGUGAGAUCCGCGAUUGAUUUCGUGCGAAGGAGGAGGGAAUAUGAAAGAAAAAGUAGUUUUUAAACGCUUGCGCGGGAAUUAGCUUCUUUGCUCUUCGGUGAUCAAGCCGAUAGUGGAAAAUACGUUUCCAAGUAACGUAGAACGGUCCGUUCACUCGUCAGAGGGUUAAACUUCAUCCACUGAUAGAUAUUUAUACGACGUGGAAGGAAGGAGAGCAUUAUUGUACCUCGUUGAAACCCCCGUCGAACUCGUUAUAUAAUGUGACGUCGACAUCGGGUAAUUAGGAAGCGUCGCAAGCAGAAAUGUUGGCCGGUGACUUUGAAAAGGUUUCACCGGUUCGUUUGUCGGUUUCCUAGCCUAUCCUCUCUUUCUCUCUCUCUCUCUCUCUCUUUCGUUUCUUUCUACCGGCGGACAGAGUAAAAAAAAGUCCGUCGACGCGUUAUUUUUAAAUUUCACAAUUUCCUCAGCGUUUUCGCACGUUUUCGCAACGUUCGUUCGUUGCUAAAUCGACUUCUAACAUCAUCAGUCCCGAAUCCCCUCGUCGUACACCUCGCGUUCCAAAUCGAAACACGAAGGCGGCACACGUGGAAAUUUUCAGCUCCUCGGUCGGUCGUGUGUGCUCUCAUCUUCGUUCCUGGUAAAAUUUGUUGGCAGAGGAGACCGGUUGGUCGAGAGAGAGAAAGAGAGAGAGAGAGAGAGCACAGUUCGUUCCUGGCACCACUUACCCUUCGCCCGUCCAUCUCGGCCGGGGCAUUUCCGCCCCGGUGUUUUUGCUCGUUCAAAGGGAACGAACCUCUUAGCGGCAAAGUAGAGGGAAGGCUAAACGGAUACAGGGCCUAAAUAGAGUUACUUGGACUGUGCGCGACGUUAUCGUCGUCGACGAGAGAGCAGCUUCUCUCUCCUCUCUCUGUUUCAUCGCGAACAAUUUCCCAAUCUACAAACCCCUGUCCCCACCCCCUCUUCAGCAGUUGAAAUUCCAACUGCAGUUUGUUUUCGACGAUCAAUCAGGCACGCAUUCAGAAUCAUUCUCUCGGACGGUGUCGUCGAAAAGACUUCGAAAAUAACAGAGUGGCUCUUUUCCGAGUUCAGCUUUUACAGUAAUCUCUCUACGUAUGUACAGAGUGCGUGCGCGCGACUUUCUCUCGUCUCCGAUCGUCUACUACGUUCCCUUCGUCGUGUAUCGCCGAAUCUCGCUUACUAUGCAAAGGGUACGCUCGUAGAAUUCGAUUGUCGUCGGUCG